AGAUUGAACGCUGGCGGCAUGCUUUACACAUGCAAGUCGAACGGCAGCACGGGGGCAACCCUGGUGGCGAGUGGCGAACGGGUGAGUAAUAUAUCGGAACGUACCCGGAAAUGGGGGAUAACGUAGCGAAAGUUACGCUAAUACCGCAUAUGCCCUGAGGGGGAAAGCGGGGGAUUCGUAAGAACCUCGCGUUUUCGGAGCGGCCGAUAUCGGAUUAGCUAGUAGGUGAGGUAAAGGCUCACCUAGGCGACGAUCCGUAGCUGGUCUGAGAGGACGACCAGCCACACUGGAACUGAGACACGGUCCAGACUCCUACGGGAGGCAGCAGGUGGGAAUUUGGACAAGUGGGCGACAAGCCUGAUCCAGCCAUCGACCGCGUGACGUAGAAGAACGGCCGUUCGGGUUAGUAAAGCUUCGUUACGACGACCGGUAAAGAAACG
rnacentral:rRNA from 1 species